GAGGAAAGGAUUUUCUACAGCUUACAGGUUAAACUCAUUUAGUAAAGGAAACUAUCGCAGGAGAUCAAGGCAGGAUCCUGGAGGCAGGAACUGAAGCAGAGACCAUGGAACAGCGCUACUUACUGGCUUGCUACUUCUGGUUGUUGAACUAUCUUUCUUAUACUGUCUGGAUCUACCUGCCCAGGGAUGGGCUGAUCUACAAUUUCUAUGGAAACAGUGAGGCUGCUGUCUGGAUAAGACAUGGACAGUUGUGUGGUGUAAGCGCCUAGAGAAUAUGACCCCAGUGCCCGAAAUGAGGCAAAUGCUGACAAAUCAGAUGUUUCUACACAAAAGAUAAAAUGCAUUGCCUGUUCUUACUGCUCCACUCUAUUCCACCAUCCACUGUUUUUUGUUCUCUUGGACGUGACAACGUCAAGAGCACAGCAGCACCAAUGAGACUUGGCUUUUCAUCAGUUCUGCUCUCUGUCACCCAAGUUUUUGUUGGGACCUUAACAUUCAUGAAUAAGGCCAAAUGAGUGAGCAUUCUGUAAUCCAUAGCAGAACUGAGAAGAACGGUGGCAAGACUAACAUCUACCCUGACUUCCUUGUUCUAUAGGAUCACCCUGAACCACCAUUGGAGCAUCUAUAUAUGAUUGCAUCCUGACAGGUAUGUUUUCCCUUGGUCUACCUUAACUGCUAAAUUCAUGAAGCACAUUUUUGUCCUAAAAAGUUGAUCUCACACGGUAAUGAGCAGCACUGUGUUUGACUGAACAACCAAGCAACUUGCUUUCAAACGAAAUGUCUCUAUUCUUUUGAGGCGGAAAGUGUUUAAACGUUAACAGAGUAACCCAAGGCCUCCCAUCAGUUUGUGUGGUGAGGAGGUGGACUUGAAUGACCUCACACAAUAGAGGAAUACUGAGAAAAGCCAAAGCUGAGGAUUUUAUAACAUAUACAACAGUCAUUCUGAAAGAGUCCAAGAAGGUGAACUCCCUGAACAACAGUGCUAGGUACUAAUGUUGGGGGUCUCAAGCCAGGGAAAUGGAAAUGAAUAGAGGGUAAGAAGAUGAUGCUCAAUAAAGACAGCUUUUAUGUCCACAUGAUGGCCAUUGCCACACUUUGAAUCUUAAAUAUGCCCCAAAGCCAUCUGUCAGAGGUUUAUUUGCCAGCUUGUGGCACUGUUAGAAGCUACAGGAACAUUUAGAAAUGGGACCUACUGGGAAGAAAUUAGGUCCUUAGAGGCACACCUUCAAAGGGGGCAUAACGAGUGUUAUAAGCAAGGCCCAUUGGUACAUGCCUAGAAUCCUAGGAUUCAGAAAGCUGAAGCAGAAGGAGCACCAUGAUUUCAAAGCUAGCUUGGCCUCCAAAGAGACCCUACUACAAACAUGUAAACCAACAAAAUGUACUGAUCCUUGUGGGCCUUGGAGAUCUAGCCUCUUCUCCUUUCUCUUUCUCUCUUUGCUUCUCCACUACAUUGAGGACAACUUCCUCUACCAGAUAUACAGACAUCAGCAAUAGAUCCAACUGACCCUAGACAGAAACCUCCAAGCCUGUGAGCAAAAAUAAGCAUUUCCUCUUUAUAAGUUGGUUGUCUCAGGCAUUUUGUUACAGCAGUGGAAAGCUGACCAAUACAACCCAUUAUUAUUUAAUCAAAAAGAUCUUCUUUGAGGUCUAUGAAAGCAAAAAGAUUGUUUAUGAUUUUCCAACAUGGGAAAAUUGUUUGGAACCUAGCAAUGAAUUAUCCAAUAUCUACACACUGAGGAAUCUCUAAUCAAGUUAGAAAUUUUAAGGCAGGAGUAAAUCCCGAGGAAUUCAGUUCUUAGUACCACCAACAUAUGUAUUAAUUGGAGACACAUAGUGCUUUGUUACUUAGAGGUCUAGAGCUUUACAGUGAAAUACUAUUGAUUAGAUGUUUAAUUAAUGGAGACUCAUAACUUUGUAAGUCUUGUCUAAAAAACACCAAAAAGGUUUUUUUGAAAAUAAAUUUCUCAGUAUUCAAUCUAUACAUGUAUGAGAUGUAUUUUAAAUAAUAAAAUAUUUUUAAGGAAAGCUAAGAUUUCAGACCUGAGUUAAGCAUCCACUUUCCUAACAUCUCUACAUUUUUCUAGUAUCCUCCAUUUGUACAAUUCUCUUUUAAUAAUCUGGAAUGAUCUGUGCUGUAUCUGUAGAUACAUGCACUGCAAAAUUAAGAGAGACCGGCUUUUUUUCAUGAGUGAUUUUCAUUCAUUAAAGACAGUGUUUUCCCUGCUCAUGACUGUAGGUGAGGGAGAGUUGGAUGAAGAUCCUGUAUUCUAAUUCAAGGGGGAGUAUAGAGAGCAUUGACCUGAGUUUGGUUGAGGCAAUAGGGCACCCACUUGCCCCUUAGUUUAACCCAUGCAUAUGUUCCUUCUAUCUAUAGGGUUUAACACAGAUACAAUUUUGUAUGCAAAGGUGGCCAUUAAACAUUAGUACUGUCCAGUAGUUCCUAACCUCUUUAAGUUUUCUCUUCCUUAAGAACUUGUUUGUCAAGAUAUGAAAAUUCACUCCUAAAGCAUUUCUGAACAAUUGCCCUAGAAAUUUCCCCUGCAGAAGAUGAAGCCAUCUCUUUUCGCCUACAUUAACAAACUAAGUUAAAUGCUGAGUGGGAAGCCUUCUCAUCCAAGAAGAGAAGGGCACUUGAGAAGGUGACUUCUUAAUUGCUUAUGGGCUUUCCUAAAGCUAAUAAAUACAUUUCUCUUUUAAAAAUAAAGGAUAUGAAGGUCAGGAAAGUCAGGCUCUGAACUGAGCUUGACCCACUGGAAAGAUCAAAGUGUAGGAUGAUGGCAAUCCCAGAGAGGCAAAGAACAUGUGCAAGUCUGUGCUAGCUCAUGUUGAGGUUUAAUGCAAUAAUGCAGGAAGCUGGUUCUUUGUAAGGAAAAGUUUCCUUAAUAGCAAUUCAAAAGAAUGGUGUUGGCAUCUGCUUGGCUCUGGCAAAAGCCUUGUGGAAACUGGCAUCUCAGUACCCCCAGAAGUGAUUAACGUGUGAAGGUGGUUCAUGGAAGAUGCUGGACUCACUUCUAACAAUCAUUCUCAUAAGAACCAAUCCACUUACUAAAGUGAGUCAAUAAUAAUAUGUCCAUGAAGAUAAAUCCCUUAUGACCUACUAGGAUCCACUUCUUAAACCUUCUACUGCUGGAUGUUGCCCCACCAGAGACCAAGCUUCCUGGAUGUGAAAGCUUGUCAAUAUGGCAUAUUCAAACCAAAGCACUGAUCAAGAAACUGCAUGAGUACUUUAAAAAUAUCCAAGUCCUAAACCAGAUCAUGUGCCUAUAGUUUUGGAUCAUUUUAAAGUUUUCAACAUAUUAAUCCAAACUACAGGGGAAGCCUGAGACUCAAAUAUCAGUAAGAGAGCAACUUCUGUUAAGAAACAGAACUGUGGCAUUUGUGAGGCUGAAUGUAUGUUGACUUAGCCUGGGUAGUAGCCACACCACGAGCACCACUGCCCCUCUGCAGACCAAUGGUAUAAGUCUUUAUAAGCGGCCACUUUCACCACCAAUUUUAAAUUUUAUGUGCCCAAUAUGAAGCCAGGGACUCACUCUCUUAUCUUUCUUGGCAUUUUCUACCUGCAGAUUUUUUUAAAAAGACAUUUAUAUUCCCCUUACAAACAAAAUUCAAAAGAUAUUGAUCUUUGAAUGGAUUCUGUCGUCAUAAUAGACUUCAGAGUGAGCUGCCUAUAUUUUCUCUCACCAUUGAAUUCAAUCUGCCAUGAAAAAUUUUCACUGUCUCCAAGUCAUCAUGAAAACAUUCUCGGCUAAUUGAGACAUUCCCAAACAAUUAAGAUAACCAGAUGCGGCUGUUAUUUGUAAUUACCUGAACAUGCAUUCCUUUCUUUGAGAAUACUUCCAGUUUUUGAGCUUUUUGAACUACUCCAGAUAAUGAAAAUGAAGAUUACUGUGUGUGCAUUUUUCACUCGGCCUAAUUUUGACAUGGAAUUACCUCUUUCCAAAAUUAAGCAGCAAAACUGGAAACAUGUGUUCCAAAAAGAGCUCUUUGCAUUUUGCCUUGUCCUGAAAGGGUACUUUCUCUUCCUACACAAAUCAUAUCACUGGCAGUUUCCUAGACUUAAGGCAGAUUUAAAUGUAAAAGAUGGAAACCAACAGUUAAGGGAAAAAUAAACAAUUUAUAAUCACCACUCAUGAGCUGUCACAUUUAAUCUUUUAGAUUCAUGAUGGGGCUGGAACACACCCGUUAUGAUUGUUGGUAUGCAGGUGCAGUCUUCUGUUGUGGAGACUACUUCCAUGAUUGUGUCUCUGACUGUUGUUAGUUAAUUUUAUGAAAUUUCAGUGAGUGAGUGAGUGUGUGUGUGUGUGUGUGUGUGUGUGUGUGUGUGUGUGUACGUGUGUAAGACACGGGCAUGCAGGUGCCUACAGAGGCCAGAAAGUGGUUGUCAGUUGUUGGAUCCCUUGGAGUUGGAGUUAAGGGCAACUGGGACCUGCCAUUGUGGGUGCUAGUGUCUGACCGUGGGUCCUCCGGAAGAGCAGUGCGUACUCUGAACCACUGAGCCGUCUGUCUCUCUAGUGCCACUACUACUAUUUUUUUAAUUGAGAAAAAAAU